rnacentral:rRNA from 1 species
ACGCACGCUGGCGGCGUGCUUAACACAUGCCAGUCGAACGGAAAGGCCCUGCUUUUGUGGGGUGCUCGAGUGGCGAACGGGUGAGUAACACGUGAGUAACCUGCCCUUGACUUUGGGAUAACUUCAGGAAACUGGGGCUAAUACCGGAUAGGAGCUCCUGCUGCAUGGUGGGGGUUGGAAAGUUUCGGCGGUUGGGGAUGGACUCGCGGCUUAUCAGCUUGUUGGUGGGGUAGUGGCUUACCAAGGCUUUGACGGGUAGCCGGCCUGAGAGGGUGACCGGCCACAUUGGGACUGAGAUACGACCCAGACUCCUACGGGAGGCAGCAGUGGGGAAUAUUGCACAAUGGGCGGAAGCCUGAUGCAGCAACGCCGCGUGCGGGAUGACGGCCUUCGGGUUGUAAACCGCUUUCGCCUGUGACGAAGCGUGAGUGACGGUAAUGGGUAAAGAAGCACCGGCUAACUACGUG